rnacentral:lncRNA from 1 species
GGCUCCCGCGCCAUGGGGCGGCUGGUGGCUGUGGGCUUGCUGGGGAUCGCGCUGGCGCUCCUGGGCGAGAGGCUUCUGGCACUCAGAAAUCGACUUAAAGCCUCCAGAGAAGUAGAAUCUGUAGACCUUCCACACUGCCACCUGAUUAAAGGAAUUGAAGCUGGCUCUGAAGAUAUUGACAUACUUCCCAAUGGUCUGGCUUUUUUUAGUGUGGUGAGUGUCUUCUUCCUUCCCCAAAUUCAGCAGAGGAGAUACAAGGGUAUUUGAUGAGGGCUGCAGAACAGUAAGUUGCUUUUAAAAUUCAUUUUCCAAAAUGCAUUCUGAAGAAAAGAGAGGUCAAACAAGAUCUUGGAAAACUUCCUCCAGCUUUUCUAAAUGUAGAGAUGAAGACUCUUUGCCCAUUGAGAUAGUGUUCUUUAUUUCCCCAUUGCAUUGCACUAAAAUAUUCCAAUGCAAUCUGUGUUUUGUUUUGUUUUUUCUUUUUUAAUUUUUUUUAUUUUUUGAGACGGAGUCUUGUUCUGGUUGCCCCGGCUGGAGUGCAGUGGCAUGAUCUCAGCUUACUGCAACCUCCGCCUCCCG